UACGUAGGGAGCGAGCGUUAUCCGGAAUUAUUGGGCGUAAAGCGUGCGUAGGCGGCGUGUUAAGUCGAAUGUGAAAGCCCACAGCUUAACUGUGGAGGGUCAUUCGAAACUGGCAUGCUAGAGUACGGCAGAGGUUAGUGGAAUUCAAUGUGUAGCGGUAAAAUGCGUAGAUAUAUUGAGGAACACCAGUGGCGAAGGCGGCUAACUGGACCGGAACUGACGCUGAGGCACGAAAGCGUGGGUAGCAAACAGG
rnacentral:rRNA from 1 species